rnacentral:rRNA from 1 species
UGGGGAAUAUUGCACAAUGGGGGAAACCCUGAUGCAGCGACGCCGCGUGAGCGAUGAAGGCUUUCGAGUCGUAAAGCUCUGUCCUAUGGGAAGAUAAUGACGGUACCAUAGAAGAAAGCCCCGGCUAAUUACGUGCCAGCGGCCGCGGUAAUACGUAAGGGGCGAGCGUUGUCCGGAAUUAUUGGGCGUAAAGAGUGCGUAGGCGGCAAAUUAAGUCAGAUGUGAAAACUAAGGGCUCAACCCAUAGAUUGCAUCUGAAACUGAUAUGCUUGAGUCAAGGAGAGGAAAGUGGAAUUCCUAGUGUAGCGGUGGAAUGCGUAGAUAUUAGGAGGAAUACCGGUGGCGAAGGCGACUUUCUGGACUUGAACUGACGCUGAGGCACGAAAGCGUGGGGAGCAAACAGG